UAAACACUCUGAAGCCACAAUGUU
rnacentral:miRNA from 1 species